ACUCAUUAAAUUAAGGGCGUAUGGAGGAUGCCUUGGCACAUAAAGGCGAUGAAGGUCGUGGCGUGCCUGCGAUAAGCUUCGGGGAGCCGGCUAGCGGGCUUUGAUCCGGAGAUUGCCGAAUGGGGAAACCCAAUCAAGUAAACCUUGAUUACUCGGUCGUGUAACAACGAUCGGGAGUAUACCUGGCGAAGUGAAACAUCUCAGUAGCCAGAGGAAAAGAAACCGAAAGGAUUCCGUGUGUAGCGGCGAGCGAAAGCGGAAUAGCCUAAACUUGCGUUUCACGAAAGUGGAGCAUGAGGGUUAUAAGGGCAGAACACUGAAAACUUGAGGAAACGAAUUCGUUCCUGAAGUUUUCUAAAGAGUUACAAAUUGGAUUGUUAGCAGAACGGCCCUGGAACGGCCGACCAAAGGAGGUGAUAGUCCUGUAUGCGAAAACAAAUCCAACUCUUGUUUUGUUUCUUGAGUAGCUCGGGAUAAGAAUGUCCUGAGUGAAUUUGCCCAUACUACUGGGUAAGGCUAAAUACUUUAUGUGACCGAUAGUGAACCAGUACCGUGAGGGAAAGGUGAAAAGCACCCCGGUGAGGGGAGUGAAAUAGUAACUGAAACCAUAUGCCUACAAAGAGCCGAAGCCUGCCGUCGCAAGACGUUGGGUAACGGUGUGCCUAUUGAAGAAUGACCCAGCGAGUUUAUCUAAACGGCCCAAGUAAGCCCUUUUUGGGUGUACUUAUAGGGAAACCGAGUGUUAAAAGCGCGUCUAGAACUAAAUAAUUGGCGGCGAAGUUUUCUUCGUAGCUAAUUAUUUUAGUUCUUAUGUCGUUUGGAUAAGACCCGAAGCCAGAGCGAGCUAACCAUGACCAGGGUGAAAGUCACCGAAAGGUGAGUGGAGGCCCGAACCAGUUGGUCGCUCAAUGCCAUUGGAUGAGUUGUGGUUAGAAGUGAUAAGCUUAUCGAGCCUGGUAAUAGCUGGUUCUCUCCGAAAUGCGUUUUGGCGCAGCGCUAUAUAGUAAUAGAGGGGGUAGAGCACUGAGUGGUUUGCCGUGCCCUUUUGGGUAGGUUUACCAAACAAA
rnacentral:ncRNA from 1 species